rnacentral:lncRNA from 1 species
AGAUAAGACAUGGCAAAAGAAGAAGUGGAAGAAGGAGGAAUCAAGAGGCAAGAAACAAGGAUGGGGAUGCCUUUCAGGAUAGCUUGGCUUGAGGGAAGCAACAAGGCUGAUGCCCUGGACAGAAGGAUUCACAGAAUGGAGAAAGAUCUAGAAAUCUUUUUUGCUAACAGAAGCCAUCAACACAAAUGUGACACCCGAGAACAGCUUACAACUGAUCUGAAGAUCAAAUGAGUUAGCUUUUGCAAAGCACAAAGCAGAGCAUUGCGGGCUUUUGGAGCCUGGCACGGAACUCUGCCGCCGGCAUUCAGAGCCCGUCAGCUGUCAGCAUCCCCAAAGGUCUGCACGAUUGAACCAGACAGCGACGGCGCGUGGUUAACCCGGCGGCAGCUCACGCGCAGCGCUUCUCUCGGCGGACACAGGGAGGCAGUGCGGGAAAGCUCGGCUUCCGCAAGCCAGAGGGAGAGCGAAUGCGGCUGCAGGCGUGCGUCCUUCC